ensembl:snRNA
GUGUUGUAUGAAAAGAGAGAAGGUUAGCACUCCCUUGACAAGGAUGGUAGAGGCCCUCCAGCCUGACAACAUGCAUACAGUUAAGGCAUCGCCACCCACUUCAUGGCAUCUAACCAUCAUUUUUA